CACCAUUCACCAAGCCACAAGUUAAAGUCCCUAAUACGCAUCCGCCUGUCGUUCUGAGUGUCAUGCACAGGGAGAACUUCAGAGAAUGACAGUGUGGAAGCAACCUGCCGUAUAUCAUUGGCAAAAACACAAAAAAAACUUCCUUAACCUCUGAAUCCUCAUUGCAAGCCAAGUCAUUUGUCCCUAGAUGGACAAGUACAUCCAAUUCCCUUUCCUGCUUUUCUCGCUUAACAAUAUUACAGAUACGUCUCCUGUCUCUGUGUGCAGUAGCUCUGGGAAGACACCUCACAAGACCACCAUUGUCCAUCUCCACACCUUUUAUGAUGGAAUCC